CUUGGUCAUUUAGAGGAAGUAAAAGUCGUAACAAGGUCUCCGUUGGUGAACCAGCGGAGGGAUCAUUACCGAGUUUACAACUCCCAAACCCCUGUGAACAUACCUAUACGUUGCCUCGGCGGAUCAGCCCGCGCCCCGUAAAACGGGACGGCCCGCCCGAGGACCCCUAAACUCUGUUUUUAGUGGAACUUCUGAGUAAAACAAACAAAUAAAUCAAAACUUUCAACAACGGAUCUCUUGGUUCUGCAUCGAUGAAGAACGCAGCCCCCCCGUGCCCA
rnacentral:rRNA from 1 species